rnacentral:rRNA from 1 species
CCUANGGGAGGCUGCAGUAAGGAAUAUUGCGCAAUGGGCGAAAGCCUGACGCAGCGACGCCGCGUGGGGGAUGAAGGUCUUCGGAUUGUAAACCCCUUUCGGGAGGGAAGAUGGAACGAGCAAUCGUUCGGACGGUACCUCCAGAAGCAGCCACGGCUAACUUCGUGCCAGCAGCCGCGGUAAUACGAAGGUGGCAAGCGUUGUUCGGAUUUACUGGGCGUACAGGGAGCGUAGGCGGUUCGGUAAGCCCUUUGUGAAAUCUCCAGGCUUAACCUGGAACAGUCGGAGGGGACUGCCGGGCUAGAGGACGGGAGAGGAGCGCGGAAUUCCCGGUGUAGCGGUGAAAUGCGUAGAGAUCGACUAGAACACCGGUGGCGAAGGCGGGUCUCUGGACAGUUCCUGACGCUCAGGCACGAAAGCCAGGGGAGCAAACGGGAUUAGAUACCCGUNUANUC